GAUGAACGCUGACAGAAUGCUUAACACAUGCAAGCCAACUGUGGCGGACGGGUGAGUAACGCGUAAAGAACUUGCCUCACAGCGAGGGACACCAUUUGGAAACGAAUGCUAAUACCUGAUACUGUGAGAGAGCUUUGCGUCCCAUUAGCUAGUUGGAGAGGUAACGGCUCACCAAGGCGAUGAUGGGUAGCCGGCCUGAGAGGGUGAUCGGCCACCAGGGGACUGAGACACUGACCUUACUCUUACGGGAGGCAGCAGUGGGGAAUAUGGGACAAUGUACCAAAGUCUGAUCCAGCAAUUCUGUGUGCACGAGGAAGUUUUCGGAAUGUAAAGUGCUUUCAGUUGGGAAGCGGUACCAACAGAAGAAGUGACGGCUAAAUACGUGCCAGCAGCCGCGGUAAUAC
rnacentral:rRNA from 1 species